UAAGCGCUGUGAGGCGUUGAGCUAACCAAUACUAAUUGCCCGUGAGGCUUGACCAUAUAACACCCAAGCAAUU
rnacentral:rRNA from 2 species